UCUCUGUAGCGCAUUGGGUUACACCUUGGACUUCUAAUCCAAAGGUCGUGGGUUCGAAUACCACCUGGAAAU